AAGAACCUGAAACCGUGUACGUACAAGCAGUGGGAGCCUCUUUUAUGGGGUGACUGCGUACCUUUUGUAUAAUGGGUCAGCGACUUAUAUUCUGUAGCAAGGUUAACCGAAUAGGGGAGCCGAAGGGAAACCGAGUCUUAACUGGGCGUUAAGUUGCAGGGUAUAGACCCGAAACCCGGUGAUCUAGCCAUGGGCAGGUUGAAGGUUGGGUAACACUAACUGGAGGACCGAACCGACUAAUGUUGAAAAAUUAGCGGAUGACUUGUGGCUGGGGGUGAAAGGCCAAUCAAACCGGGAGAUAGCUGGUUCUCCCCGAAAGCUAUUUAGGUAGCGCCUCGUGAAUUCAUCUCCGGGGGUAGAGCACUGUUUCGGCAAGGGGGUCAUCCCGACUUACCAACCCGAUGCAAACUGCGAAUACCGGAGAAUGUUAUCACGGGAGACACACGGCGGGUGCUAACGUCCGUCGUGAAGAGGGAAACAACCCAGACCGCCAGCUAAGGUCCCAAAGUCAUGGUUAAGUGGGAAACGAUGUGGGAAGGCCCAGACAGCCAGGAUGUUGGCUUAGAAGCAGCCAUCAUUUAAAGAAAGCGUAAUAGCUCACUGGUCGAGUCGGCCUGCGCGGAAGAUGUAACGGGGCUAAACCAUGCACCGAAGCUGCGGCAGCGACACUAUGUGUUGUUGGGUAGGGGAGCGUUCUGUAAGCCUGUGAAGGUGUGCUGUGAGGCAUGCUGGAGGUAUCAGAAGUGCGAAUGCUGACAUAAGUAACGAUAAAGCGGGUGAAAAGCCCGCUCGCCGGAAGACCAAGGGUUCCUGUCCAACGUUAAUCGGGGCAGGGUGAGUCGACCCCUAAGGCGAGGCCGAAAGGCGUAGUCGAUGGGAAACAGGUUAAUAUUCCUGUACUUGGUGUUACUGCGAAGGGGGGACGGAGAAGGCUAUGUUGGCCGGGCGACGGUUGUCCCGGUUUAAGCGUGUAGGCUGGUUUUCCAGGCAAAUCCGGAAAAUCAAGGCUGAGGCGUGAUGACGAGGCACUACGGUGCUGAAGCAACAAAUGCCCUGCUUCCAGGAAAAGCCUCUAAGCAUCAGGUAACAUCAAAUCGUACCCCAAACCGACACAGGUGGUCAGGUAGAGAAUACCAAGGCGCUUGAGAGAACUCGGGUGAAGGAACUAGGCAAAAUGGUGCCGUAACUUCGGGAGAAGGCACGCUGAUAUGUAGGUGAAGUCCCUCGCGGAUGGAGCUGAAAUCAGUCGAAGAUACCAGCUGGCUGCAACUGUUUAUUAAAAACACAGCACUGUGCAAACACGAAAGUGGACGUAUACGGUGUGACGCCUGCCCGGUGCCGGAAGGUUAAUUGAUGGGGUCAGCGCAAGCGAAGCUCUUGAUCGAAGCCCCGGUAAACGGCGGCCGUAACUAUAACGGUCCUAAGGUAGCGAAAUUCCUUGUCGGGUAAGUUCCGACCUGCACGAAUGGCGUAAUGAUGGCCAGGCUGUCUCCACCCGAGACUCAGUGAAAUUGAACUCGCUGUGAAGAUGCAGUGUACCCGCGGCAAGACGGAAAGACCCCGUGAACCUUUACUAUAGCUUGACACUGAACAUUGAGCCUUGAUGUGUAGGAUAGGUGGGAGGCUUAGAAGUGUGGACGCCAGUCUGCAUGGAGCCGACCUUGAAAUACCACCCUUUAAUGUUUGAUGUUCUAACGUUGACCCGUGAUCCGGGUUGCGGACAGUGUCUGGUGGGUAGUUUGACUGGGGCGGUCUCCUCCUAAAGAGUAACGGAGGAGCACGAAGGUUGGCUAAUCCUGGUCGGACAUCAGGAGGUUAGUGCAAUGGCAUAAGCCAGCUUGACUGCGAGCGUGACGGCGCGAGCAGGUGCGAAAGCAGGUCAUAGUGAUCCGGUGGUUCUGAAUGGAAGGGCCAUCGCUCAACGGAUAAAAGGUACUCCGGGGAUAACAGGCUGAUACCGCCCAAGAGUUCAUAUCGACGGCGGUGUUUGGCACCUCGAUGUCGGCUCAUCACAUCCUGGGGCUGAAGUAGGUCCCAAGGGUAUGGCUGUUCGCCAUUUAAAGUGGUACGCGAGCUGGGUUUAGAACGUCGUGAGACAGUUCGGUCCCUAUCUGCCGUGGGCGCUGGAGAACUGAGGGGGGCUGCUCCUAGUACGAGAGGACCGGAGUGGACGCAUCACUGGUGUUCGGGUUGUCAUGCCAAUGGCACUGCCCGGUAGCUAAAUGCGGAAGAGAUAAGUGCUGAAAGCAUCUAAGCACGAAACUUGCCCCGAGAUGAGUUCUCCCUGACCCUUUAAGGGUCCUGAAGGAACGUUGAAGACGACGACGUUGAUAGGCCGGGUGUGUAAGCGCAGCGAUGCGUUGAGCUAACCGGUACUAAUGAACCGUGAGG
rnacentral:rRNA from 1 species